rnacentral:rRNA from 1 species
UAAUACGUAGGCAGCGAGCGUUGUUCGGAGUUACUGGGCGUAAAGGGUGUGUAGGCGGUUCUUUAAGUUUGGUGUGAAAUCUCCCGGCUCAACCGGGAGGGUGCGCCGAAUACUGAGGGACUAGAGUCCGGAAGAGGAGAGUGGAAUUCCUGGUGUAGCGGUGAAAUGCGCAGAUAUCAGG